GUGAGCGGUUCGCGUGUGCGAUUUCGCGUCGGCCGCCCGGCGGCCUCCGCCGCUCUGCGCCGCGCACGAAUAUUUUUAGAUAACAGCGCGAAUAAUUUAUUCGUGAGUGAGCGAUCGCGCGCACUUUCGCUAGCGUCGGCGACGGCGCAUGCGGGCGCGCUCAGCGGCCAGACGUCCCGAUAGGAGCGGCGAAGUAUUGGCGAAUGAAGACGUCCUAUCAGCCAGCAGUCUCGCGUUCAAAUCAUCAUAAUGAUCAUUGACUACGCUUGAUAGUGGAGAGCAACGACGGAUGGCGACAGGUGACGACGAGUGGCGACGAGUUGCGACGGGUAGCGGCGGAUAGCGGGCGAUGCUGGUGGCUGAGUCAGCAUGAUGUCAUGUGGUAGCUAAUGGGAGCGUCCCGGCACGUAACAUCCCAUUCCCGCCGCAUACUUCACCCAAUCGAGCGAUGACAAAUCCAUUCAUAUCAUCGCCUACUCUAUUGUGCGUUAGUGUCGUGUUUAGACCUAGUUUCUAAUUUCAAUGUUUCAAACAUUGGUGUGUGAGUAUUAUUUUUAAUUGUUUUUACCCGACUGCGUCAGAAGGAGGGUAAUGUUUUUACUUUCACAGAUUGAGCACUUCUUCUACCUACUUUGAUCAUAUGAAGUAGAUAGAAGCAGAAGAAGAAGAACAAAUUAAAAGCUUAAUAAAUAGCAUGUAUCAUUACGAAAGUACAUUAUUAUACUCGUAUUAUAAAUUUAUUUAUUACUAGCUGGCGCCGCGCGGUUUCACCCGCGUGGUUCCCG
rnacentral:lncRNA from 1 species